rnacentral:rRNA from 1 species
CAGCAUGAGUAGCAAUACUUGAUGGCGACCGGGCAAAACGGGUCGAGGAACACGUACACAACCUUCCUUCAAGCCGGGGAAUAGCCCAGAGAAAUUUGGAUUAAUACCCCAUAAUAUAUUUGAUAAGGCAGUCUUAUUAAUAUUAAAGCUUCGGCACUUGAUGAUGGGUGUGCGGCUGAUUAGAUAGUUGGCGGGUAACGGCCCACCAAGUCUACGAUCAGUAGCUGAUGUGAGAGCAUGAUCAGCCACACGGGCACUGAGACACGGGCCCGACUCCUACGGGAGGCAGCAGUAAGGAAUAUUGGACAAUGGACGAAAGUCUGAUCCAGCCAUGCCGCGUGAAGGAUUAAGGUUCCUCUGGAUUGUAAACUUCUUUUAUAUGGGACGAAAAAGGGCAUUCUUGUUCACUUGACGGUACCAUAUGAAUAAGCACCGGCUAACUCCGUG